rnacentral:rRNA from 1 species
AGGGUGUAAACGCUGCAGACUUGGUGUUGGAGGCCCUUUGGGGGGCAUUCAGUGCUGGAGAGAAGUUGUUAAGUCUGCUACUUGGGGAGUACGUCCGCAAGGAUGAAACUUAAAGGAAUUGGCGGAGGAGCACCGCAACGGGAGGAGCGUGCGGUUUAAUUGGAUUCAACACCGUAAAACUCACCAGGGAAGACUGUUACAUGAAGGCCGAGCUAAAGACUCUGCUAGAUUUUCAGAGAGGUGGUGCAUGGCGUCAGUGACU